UUAAGCGACUAAGCGUACACGGUGGAUGCCCUGGCAGUCAGAGGCGAUGAAGGACGUGCUAAUCUGCGAAAAGCGACGGCGAGGUGAUAUGAACCCUUGACCCGUCGAUGUCCGAAUGGGGAAACCCAGUGCAAUCCGUUGCACUAUCGUUAACUGAAUACAUAGGUUAACGAGGCGAACCGGGGGAACUGAAACAUCUAAGUACCCCGAGGAAAAGAAAUCAACCGAGAUUCCCCCAGUAGCGGCGAGCGAACGGGGAGCAGCCGGAGUCUGAAUCAGCUUGUGUGUUAGUGGAACGGUCUGGAAAGUCCGACGGUACAGGGUGAUAGUCCCGUACACGAAAGCACACUUGCUGUGAACUCGAAGAGUAGGGCGGGACACGUGGUAUCCUGUCUGAAUAUGGGGGGACCAUCCUCCAAGGCUAAAUACUCCUGACUGACCGAUAGUGAACCAGUACCGUGAGGGAAAGGCGAAAAGAACCCCGGCGAGGGGAGUGAAAAAGAACCUGAAACCGUGUACGUACAAGCAGUGGGAGCCUCUUUUAUGGGGUGACUGCGUACCUUUUGUAUAAUGGGUCAGCGACUUAUAUUCUGUAGCAAGGUUAACCGUAUAGGGGAGCCGAAGGGAAACCGAGUCUUAACUGGGCGUUAAGUUGCAGGGUAUAGACCCGAAACCCGGUGAUCUAGCCAUGGGCAGGUUGAAGGUUGGGUAACACUAACUGGAGGACCGAACCGACUAAUGUUGAAAAAUUAGCGGAUGACCUGUGGCUGGGGGUGAAAGGCCAAUCAAACCGGGAGAUAGCUGGUUCUCCCCGAAAGCUAUUUAGGUAGCGCCUCGUGAACUCAUCUUCGGGGGUAGAGCACUGUUUCGGCUAGGGGGCCAUCCCGGCUUACCAACCCGAUGCAAACUACGAAUACCGAAGAAUGUUAUCACGGGAGACACACGGCGGGUGCUAACGUCCGUCGUGAAGAGGGAAACAACCCAGACCGCCAGCUAAGGUCCCAAAGUCAUGGUUAAGUGGGAAACGAUGUGGGAAGGCACAGACAGCCAGGAUGUUGGCUUAGAAGCAGCCAUCAUUUAAAGAAAGCGUAAUAGCUCACUGGUCGAGUCGGCCUGCGCGGAAGAUGUAACGGGGCUAAACCAUGCACCGAAGCUGCGGCAGCGACACUAUGUGUUGUUGGGUAGGGGAGCGUUCUGUAAGCCGUUGAAGGUGUGCUGUGAGGCAUGCUGGAGGUAUCAGAAGUGCGAAUGCUGACAUAAGUAACGAUAAAGCGGGUGAAAAGCCCGCUCGCCGGAAGACCAAGGGUUCCUGUCCAACGUUAAUCGGGGCAGGGUGAGUCGACCCCUAAGGCGAGGCCGAAAGGCGUAGUCGAUGGGAAACAGGUUAAUAUUCCUGUACUUGGUGUUACUGCGAAGGGGGGACGGAGAAGGCUAUGUUAGCCGGGCGACGGUUGUCCCGGUUUAAGCAUGUAGGCGGAGGUUCCAGGUAAAUCCGGUACCUUUUAACGCUGAGGUGUGAUGACGAGGCACUACGGUGCUGAAGUAACAAAUGCCCUGCUUCCAGGAAAAGCCUCUAAGCAUCAGGUAACACGAAAUCGUACCCCAAACCGACACAGGUGGUCAGGUAGAGAAUACCAAGGCGCUUGAGAGAACUCGGGUGAAGGAACUAGGCAAAAUGGUGCCGUAACUUCGGGAGAAGGCACGCUGAUAUGUAGGUGAAGUCCCUGCGGAUGGAGCUGAAAUCAGUCGAAGAUACCAGCUGGCUGCAACUGUUUAUUAAAAACACAGCACUGUGCAAACACGAAAGUGGACGUAUACGGUGUGACGCCUGCCCGGUGCCGGAAGGUUAAUUGAUGGGGUUAGCGGCAACGCGAAGCUCUUGAUCGAAGCCCCGGUAAACGGCGGCCGUAACUAUAACGGUCCUAAGGUAGCGAAAUUCCUUGUCGGGUAAGUUCCGACCUGCACGAAUGGCGUAAUGAUGGCCAGGCUGUCUCCACCCGAGACUCAGUGAAAUUGAACUCGCUGUGAAGAUGCAGUGUACCCGCGGCAAGACGGAAAGACCCCGUGAACCUUUACUAUAGCUUGACACUGAACACUGGUCCUUGAUGUGUAGGAUAGGUGGGAGGCUUUGAAGCGUGGACGCCAGUCUGCGUGGAGCCAUCCUUGAAAUACCACCCUUUAAUGGCUGGUGUUCUAACGUGGACCCGUAAUCCGGGUUGCGGACAGUGUCUGGUGGGUAGUUUGACUGGGGCGGUCUCCUCCCAAAGAGUAACGGAGGAGCACGAAGGUUAGCUAAUCCUGGUCGGACAUCAGGAGGUUAGUGCAAUGGCAUAAGCUAGCUUGACUGCGAGAGUGACGGCUCGAGCAGGUGCGAAAGCAGGUCAUAGUGAUCCGGUGGUUCUGAAUGGAAGGGCCAUCGCUCAACGGAUAAAAGGUACUCCGGGGAUAACAGGCUGAUACCGCCCAAGAGUUCAUAUCGACGGCGGUGUUUGGCACCUCGAUGUCGGCUCAUCACAUCCUGGGGCUGAAGUAGGUCCCAAGGGUAUGGCUGUUCGCCAUUUAAAGUGGUACGCGAGCUGGGUUUAGAACGUCGUGAGACAGUUCGGUCCCUAUCUGCCGUGGGCGCUGGAGAAUUGAGGGGGGCUGCUCCUAGUACGAGAGGACCGGAGUGGACGCAUCACUGGUGUUCGGGUUGUCAUGCCAAUGGCACUGCCCGGUAGCUAAAUGCGGAAGAGAUAAGUGCUGAAAGCAUCUAAGCACGAAACUUGCCCCGAGAUGAGUUCUCCCUGAGACUUUAAGUCUCCUGAAGGAACGUUGAAGACGACGACGUUGAUAGGUCGGGUGUGUAAGCGCAGCGAUGCGUUGAGCUAACCGAUACUAAUGAACCGUGAGGCUUAACCUU
rnacentral:rRNA from 1 species